CUUCAAACACACAUGUCAAAAUACAUAUACAAAUAAAACUAUCAUCUCAAUGAAAACACUAAUAUAUGCAAUUUAAUAAUACGAAAAGCCAUUUUUCCACUUUAGAAAAAGGAUGAUGCUUCAGAGAAAAGAAACCAAGGAUAAACAAGGAAGUACGUAAACCUUUCACAUAUUAUCAUGUUAAUAAAGAAAGCCACAUCAGCUCUAUACUUUUAGCCUCCAAACACAUUGCUACUG